CCGGGGCCGGGCCGGCAGCUGGUGUCCUCCGGCGGCACCGACGUCCCUGUGGUCGCGGUGCUGGCGCCGGAC
rnacentral:tRNA from 2 species